AGAAACUUAGGAUCAACUAAACCGAAGGCCUUCAAAGCCUUAGACAAGAGUUAAACUCUCUUAGUUUCUG
rnacentral:tRNA from 1 species